rnacentral:rRNA from 1 species
GAUGAACGCUGGCGGCGUGCCUAAUACAUGCAAGUCGAGCGAACAGACGAGGAGCUUGCUCCUCUGACGUUAGCGGCGGACGGGUGAGUAACACGUGGAUAACCUACCUAUAAGACUGGGAUAACUUCGGGAAACCGGAGCUAAUACCGGAUAACAUGUUGAACCGCAUGGUUCAACAGUGAAGGACGGUCUUGCUGUCGCUUAUAGAUGGAUCCGCGCCGCAUUAGCUAGUUGGUAAGGUAACGGCUUACCAAGGCAACGAUGCGUAGCCGACCUGAGAGGGUGAUCGGCCACACUGGAACUGAGACACGGUCCAGACUCCUACGGGAGGCAGCAGUAGGGAAUCUUCCGCAAAGGGCGAAAGCCUGACGGAGCAACGCCGCGUGAGUGAAGAAGGUCUUCGGAUCGUAAAACUCUGUUAUUAGGGAAGAACAAAUGUGUAAGUAACUAUGCACGUCUUGACGGUACCUAAUCAGAAAGCCACGGCUAACUACGUG